AUUAGGGUUUCUGGUGCGGCUAUAUAACUUAAACAUGAGCGUUCACAUUCUCUCGAUCCAUAGCGUUCUAGGGUUUCUUCAAUCUGAACUCAGCCACAACCACUUGCUCCAAACGCCACUUUGGCCCUCAGAUCUUCUUCUCAUGUUCUUUAAUUUCUUUUGCACGAUGCCUCCCGGGCUUCUCUGAGCUUUCGUUAUGACGCGAAUGCCCCGAUGCACGUGCUACAUCGGUGCCGUUCGUGUUGCAGAUUCGUUUCUUUUAUCUUCCACGGCCAAUCUGUGUCAAACUAUGAGGAUAAUAAUUCAGCUUCAAAUGCCAGUUCUGCUUCUGAAAAAUCGUGAUUGAUGAAGCUGUUAUAUUUCUGAGCCUUUCUGCAUUUAUUAUAUUUUAAGUUGCUGUUAAUGCAUGUUAAUUGAGUGUCAAACAUGGCCUGUGAUGAUUCAACCCAACUGUUUGAGGUGUUGUGGAGCCAAGACCCUGUUUACAGGGAGAACCUACUUGGUGAAGCUACAUUCAUAUGACGUCAAUGGGUUCAACUGAGGCUUUCUUUUGUAAACUAAUGUUCCUAUUUUGAAUUAACCAUUUAGCAGUAUCCUAAUCAAAUUGCCUUCACUGGUACUUGAGUUAAUUGACUUGGUACUAUUAUUUUUCUAAAUCCUAUUUUUUAAUGUUUCCACUGCCGAUGAUGUUUUCAAUCCAACUUGUCCGAGGUUGUAGUGUACCCAAGUCCCUGUAUUUUCAGGGAGAACCUACUUGGUGUUGCUACAAGUCAAUGACAUCAAAGAUUAUAACUGAGGUUG